CUCGAUUGAUCCUGCCAGUAGUCAUAUGCUUAUCUCAAAGAUUAAGCCAUGUAUGUUUAAGUAUGAACUAAUUUAGACUGUGAAAUUGUGAAUGGCUCAUUAAAUCAAUUUUAGUUUGUUUGAUGGUAUCUACUACUCAGAUAAUUGUAAUAAUUUUAUAGCUAAAGUAUACAACAAACCCCUGCUUCUGGAAGGGAUGUAUUUAUUAGAUAAAAGGUCAAUGUGGGCUUUGCGCUUCGCUCUAAUGAUUCAUUAUAACUUGACGAAUCGCAUAGCUUUUAUACCAACAAUGCAUGAUUCAAAUUUUUGCUCUAUCAACUGUUGAUGGUAAGAUAAUGGCCUACUAUGGUGGUGAUUGGUGACAAAGAAUUAGGGUUCGAUUCUGGAGAGGAAACCUGAGAAAAAGCUAACACAUCCAAGGAAGGCUAUAGGCAAAAAAUUACCCAACUUGACACGGGGAGGUUGUGAGAAUAAAUAACAAUGCUGGGCUCUAUGAGUCUAGUAAUUGAAAUGAAUACAAUCUAAAUUCCUUAAUAAGGAUCCAUUAAAAGGCCAUCCAUUAGAGGGCAAGUCUGGUGCCAACAGCCAUGGUAAUUCUAGCUCUAAUAGCAUAUUUAAGUUAUUGCAGUUAAAAAACUUAUGGUUGAAACUAAGAUUGGGUCAUCUGACUAAGAUUGGGUCAUCUGGUCCACUUCAUGGUGAGCACCAGUUUACUUGUCUUUGUAACCAAUGAUGUGUUUUAACCUUAACUAGCUAGGUCAUUCCUCUGGUGAUGUUACUUUGAAGAAAUUAGAGUGCUCAAAAUAGGCCUAUGUUUGUAUACGUUAGCAAAGGAUAACAUCAUAGGAUAUUGGUGCUAUCGUGUUGGCCUUUGGGAUCGAAGUAAUGAUUAACAGGGAUAGUUAGGGGCAUUCAUAUUUAUAGUCAGAGGUGAAAUUCUUGGAUUUAUGAAAAAUGAACAAAUGCAAAAGCAUUUGCCAAUGAUGUUUUCAUUAAUCAAGAAUGAAAGUUGGGGGCUCAAAGUUGAUCAAAUACUAUCCUAGUCUCAACUAUAAAUGAUGUCGACCAGGGAUCAAUGAAUGUUACUUUUAGGACUCUGUGGCACCUUAUGAAAAAUCAAAGUCUUCGAAUUCUAGGGGGAGUAUGGUUGCAAGGCUUAAACUUAAAGGAAUUGAUGGAAGGGCACCACCAGGAGUAGAGCUUGUAGUUAAUUUGACUCAACAUAAGGAAACUUAUUCGGUCCAGACAUAGUAAGGCUUGACAUACUGAGAGCUUUUUCUUGAUUCUAUAGGUGGUGGUGCAUGGCCGUUCUUAGUUGGUAGAGUGAUUUGUCUGCUUAAUUCUAUUAAUGAAUGAAACCUCAACCUAUUAACUAGCUAUGAUGAGAUGAUCCUUAAUGGCUAGCUUUCUAAAGGGACUAUGGCUGCUUAGACCAAUAAAGUUUGAUGCAAUAAAAGGUCUAUGAUGCCUUUAGAUGUUUUAGGCUGCAUGUGCGCUACACUGAUGUAUUCAACAAGUCUAUAGCCUUGGCCGAUAGGCCUAGGUAAUCUUUGAAAUUUCAUCAUAAUACAUAUAGAUCAUUGCAAUUGUUAUCAACGAGGAAUUCCUAAUAAGUGCGAGUCAUCAGCUUAUGUUGACUACGUCCCUGCCCUUUGUACACAUUGCCUAUCACUCUUACCAAUUGAAUGGUCCGAUGAAGUAUUUAGAUUGUAGUGACAUGGACGGUUCACUACCUGUGACAUUGCAAGAAGUUCAGUAAACCUUAUCAUUUAGAGGAAGGAAAAGUCAUAACAAGGUUUUCAUAAGUGAACUUGCAGAAG
rnacentral:rRNA from 1 species